rnacentral:misc_RNA from 1 species
GAUGAAGAACGUAGCGAAAUGCGAUAAGUAAUGUGAAUUGCAGAAUUCCGUGAAUCAUCGAAUCUUUGAACGCACAUUGCGCCCUCUGGUAUUCCGGGGGGCAUGCCUGUCCGAGCGUCAUUGCAACCCUCAAGCGCGGCUUGUGUGUUGGGUCUUCGUCCCCCGUGGACGUGCCCGAAAUGCAGUGGCGGCGUCGUGUUCCGGUGCCCGAGCGUAUGGGGCUUUGUCACCCGCUCUUGGAGGCCCGGCCGGCGCUUGCCCAUCAGCCAUCGAGGACUCGUUCCUCAACCAGGUUGACCUCGGAUCAGGUAGGGAUACCCGCUGAACUUAAGCAUAUCAAUAAGCGGAGGA